UGCUCUGACUCCUUGCUCCAUCUCCCUGUGCUGCGGUCUGGGCUCCGCAGACUGUUCCCCCUCCUCGCCCUCCCCGACCCCCCCCCCAUUGAAGCAGACCUGUUCUGAAGUUCUUCCAAGGUAAGAAAGCCGAGGUUAAGAGGCAUUACAUGGCUUGCACAGCUAGUAAGUGUCUGAAGCAAAUCACUCUCCUGGUUCUGCUUACAGUAGUUGUCUCUGCAUCAGAUCCCACAAGCUUUCCCACUUUUCUCUGAAUUCUUCACAUUUAUUUAAAUCCUUCUUUGGCGGAUGAGGAGAAGAGAGAUGUGGUUCAACAGCCCUGACUUCCUCCAAUGCUAUCCUUCCUGAAGUAUGAGGUAAAUGGGAUAUUUAGGGAAGACUAGCACUUCUGUAUUAAAGGCUUUCUGAGCCCUUUCCAGGGCUUUUCAUCCACCUUUGGUGUUCACCUGGCACUCAAUUCUCACUUAUGGCUCCAUGAAGAAGGAUCAUACAGUUUCCUCAUCUUUAAAGAACCAUCUUGAUAGAGGAGCCAAACAAGGAUGAAGGCAAUCUACAGGCCUUAAAUAAAUUGGUAAGUUGGGGUGGGUAGCUACCCCAAACAUGUAAAGACUUCUCUAACAAAAUGGGUAGAUGAGAAAAAUGUAUUUCACUGACCCCAAAGAUGGCUGAAGCAGAUGUUGUAGAGCAUUUGGUCAGACAUCAAAAACACCAAGUUCAUCCACUGCUUCCUUGGCCAUCACCACUCAUCUUGAUCUUUGUCUUCAAUGACCCUGGAAGAGAAAACAAGACUUAUGGCUUCAUGCAACUCUGCCUGACUGCAAGUCAUCAUCUGUUAUGUCACUGGUCUAAUUCAAAAACAAAGGACAAACAGCCACUGAAGACCCAGAAAAGAAAGUUCUCCCCCCAAAGUGUUAUCUGUGUCAAAUGUUUCAACACAUUGAAAGAAUAUAAUUUUAUCAAUGAAAAAACUAGUUUCAUAUUUAAUAAGAUUUAUUAAUUUGAUAUAUUUUAGUUCAGUAUAGUUUUAUUAGUAAUAUCUCAUUUCUUACUUGGUUGCACUACUUUGGGACUUCUUGGUCUGUUUUCUCUACCAUAUUCCUGGAUGUUCAACAUUGGGUAGCUUGUAAGAUCUUAUCAGCCUAAGCUUUCCAUCUCAUCACUACCCUCUGUCUCUCUGAUUUGAGAAGGCAGACUUGAAUUCCAAACCUUUAUUUAAGGAUAGAGUUCAGUUUAUACAUCUCAUUUCUCAUGCGACUGCUACUUUGGGACUUCUCUGAGUUCUUUAACUUUUCCCACCUUUUCAACUUUCUUUCAUAUCUUGUCUCCUCCAAUUAGACUAUAAGCUUGUUGAGGGCCCUUUAAAAUUUGCAAAUCAUUUUCCUCACAAUAAUCCUAUGUACUAACUCGUAAAAUAUUAUUGCACUCAUUUUGCAGAAGGAAAAAGUGAGACUAGAAGAGGUGAAGUGUUUUUCCAAGUAACUUGGCAACUAAGUAUGUAGGACCAGAUUUGAAUCCAGAUUUUCUUGACUCCAGUCCAUCAUUAUGCCUCCUUAGCUCUUUCCUGCCCUAUGAAGUGAUGUAUGUCAUGAAAGUGGGGCAUGAAACAGAGGCUGGAGAAGACAGCUCUGCAUUUCAAAUCAGAAGACCUGAGGAAAAGUCCCAGCUCCUUCAUUUACUUGCCAUAGUAAAAGUCAUUAAAUAUUUCCAAAUUUCAGUAAAAUAGAUCUGAGAUGACUUGCCAUUCCUAUUGCAAAUAAGUACAAAUUAGUCAAAAUGAUUAAGAAGGAAAGCCACUAACAAUUAGGGUAAUUCUUGGGUAAAAGAUGGCGCUUGAGAUGAAUUUUGAAGGAUGAAGGGGGUAAAAAUAAAUUGAGGCAGAAUUAAGUACAAAAGACAUUCCAGUGUAAAGGACAGUUUGGCUGUUUUUUAAAUAAAUCAGCAAAAUUAUAUUAAUGAUAUGCCAACUACUGUGGUAGGCACAACAGACAUAAUGACUUAGCCCUCAGGGAUCUUGCAAUGAGGAAAAGGGAUGGAUGAAUGAUCUUAAGAAUGAACCUCUGUUUGGGUAAAACAAAUGAUAGGGGAGCCACAUUAAAAAUUCAUGAAAAUUAAGAAGCUAGCAAGAGUACUUGGGAAGUAUGAAGGAGAAAGGAACCAAGGAGGAGAGUGGAUAGAGCUCUGUCCACAUCACAAUUUUACCUGGGGCUGGUCUUGAUAAGUCUGUCUGGGGCAAUGGAAAGAAUAAAUAGCCUCUAUUCUAACCCCAUUCAUCCUCUCCAAAGACAUGUUAAUUCAUGCCAAUUUGGGGGGGGAGGUUUCUGAAAGAAUUCUUUCAUGUUUGAUUGAUGAGCUCUAACCAGGGACUAGUUCCUGUUUGUCUUUUUUCUCAGACAAGGCCUCAGGAUACUUCAAGUACUGGCAGAUGGUGAACGUGUUCUGAACCAAGUAUCCAAGCUUUAUUGAAGUUGCUAUAGGAUGCUUUCUUUAUUUCAUCUGGGAAGGCUUGUGGGGACAGGAAAGUUAUUUUCCUAUCUCAUAUCCCUCCUCUCCUACUCCCCAACUCCCAAUCAAGGAAGGAGGCCUGAGAGCUGAGUUUCAGAAGAGCCCAAUCAAUAUUCUUGAGGCAAGCUAGUUAGGUUAAUUCCCUCUAACCCAUUCAAAAGAGGAAAGAGAUGGGAGAACAGAUAGAUGGGAGAACAGCUAACGGUGACUAGUGAGUUCAUUGGGGGGGACCAAUAAGAUACCAAAGAUACCCAAAUGUGCCCUAUCCUUGCAUUUGUCUGUAACAAAUAUAAAUAUGAA